GGGAGUGUGGCUCAGUGGUAGAGUGCUCGCCUAGCAUGCGGGAAGCCCUGGGUUCCAUUCCUUAGCACCA
rfam:Dipodomys ordii contig_41746, whole genome shotgun sequence.